rnacentral:sRNA from 1 species
GCCAUGCCUAGAGCGGCCACUCGAAAACCGGGCAACCCUUACCCGGCUGGCAUGGUUUCCGAAUUAAGGG